rnacentral:sRNA from 1 species
ACUGGAAAACGAAACCGACGUGAUUGCGGCGGUAGAGGUUGAGU